GAGUUUGAUCCUGGCUCAGGAUGAACGCUGACAGAAUGCUUAACACAUGCAAGUCGACUGGAAUUCACCUUCGGGUGAUAGUACGGUGGCGGACGGGUGAGUAACGCGUAAAGAACUUGCCCUCUAGACUGGGACAACUGUUGGAAACGACAGCUAAUACCGGAUAUUAUGGGAACCUCGCAUGGGGAACUUAUGAAAGCUAUAUGCGCUAGAGGAGAGCUUUGCGUGCCAUUAGGUAGUUGGUAGGGUAAUGGCCUACCAAGCCGACGAUGGCUAGCCGGCCUGAGAGGGUGAUCGGCCACAAGGGGACUGAGACACGGCCCUUACUCCUACGGGAGGCAGCAGUGGGGAAUAUUGGACAAUGGGCCACAAGCCUGAUCCAGCAAUUCUGUAUGCACGAUGAAGGUUUUCGGAUCGUAAAGUGCUUUCAGUAGGGAAGAAAAAAUGACGGUACCUACAGAAGAAGCGACGGCUAAAUACGUGCCAGCAGCCGCGGUAAUACGUAUGUCGCAAGCGUUAUCCGGAAUUAUUGGGCGUAAAGCGCGUCUAGGCGGCCUUUUAAGUCUGAUGUUAAAAUGCGGGGCUCAACUCCGUAUUGCGUUGGAAACUGGAAGGCUAGAGUAUCAGAGAGGUGGGCGGAACUACAAGCGUAGAGGUGGAAUUCGUAGAUAUUUGUAGGAAUGCCGAUUGGGAAGCCAGCUCACUGGAUGAAUACUGACGCUGAAGCGCGAAAGCGUGGGGAGCAAACGGGAUUAGAUACCCCGGUAGUCCACGCCGUAAACGAUGAUCACUAAGUGUGGGGGGUCGAACCUCCGUGCUCAAGCUAACGCGAUAAGUGAUCCGCCUGGGGAGUACGCACGCAAGUGUGAAACUCAAAGGAAUUGACGG
rnacentral:rRNA from 1 species